rnacentral:rRNA from 1 species
UAUAGUUAAGCUGGGGCAGCUUAAUAAUAAUUAUUUUAUUAUAAAAUGAUAAAUAAAUUAAUCCAAUAAAAUUGAAUGUUGAACAAGUUACCAUAGGGAUAACAGCGUAAUAAUUUUUUGAAGCUCAUAUUUAAAAAAAAGAUUGCGACCUCGAUGUUGAAUUAAUUUUACUUUAAAACGCAAUAGUUUUAAAAGUGGG